rnacentral:tRNA from 1 species
GUUCAAUUAGUAUAAAUAAAGUAUAUUAAGCUUCCAACUUAAAGGCUAAGAAAAUUAAUUGAAUA